UCUCUAUUCUCGGUCUCAACUCUGAACUUGGCCCCCUUUUUCUCUCUGUAACUCCCCAAUCGCACGCCUCCAUCUCUAUUCUCGAUCUCAACUCUGAACAUGCCCUCUCUCUCUCUGACUCCCCAAUCGCCUCCAUCUCUAUUCUCGUUCUCAACCUUGAACUUGCCCCCUCUCGAUCUCUGCAACUCCCCAAUUGCCACUAUCUCUAUUCUCUUUUCUCAACUCUAAACUUGCCCCUUCUCUCUCUCUGCAACUGCUAACUAGAAAAUCUACAAGAAUCAGAAGUUUAAAACUCAUAUAUUUCAGUUUAUUUUGUCUGUCUGCAAGAAUCAAAAGUUCAAAACCUAUUGCACCACAGCCACCACCAUCACUCCACCCCAUAUCCUCACACCACCACUGAAGCCAACCCCUCUCUCUCUGUUCGAGCUCUCUGCUAUGGGUUUUUCGGCGAGAUCUCUAGCCAAACCUUGGCUUCUUGCUCUCCGGCCGACCCUCAGCUAAGGAGAUAACAUUCUCAUCUCGCCGCCAUCCACCGUUGCAAUUUUUUGUCAUCUUCUCCAGCGAAUCUAAGGCCGUCAUCUCAUUGUUCUCGGUUUGGUCUCUCUCUCGGAUUUUUCUCUUCAUUCCUUUGCUAUUCUCUCUAUCUUUCGGGAGGAAGCAGGUAGACUCAAGUUUGUAUGUGUUUCAAAUGAUGGUGAAUGAUGGGAGGAGCAUCGAUCCAUCUGAGCUGCAAGAGAAGUUAACCGACUUAGUCAUUCGGACUUCAAGUUAGAUCCCCUUUUAAUUUUUGUUUCUCUGCUAUUUUUGUUUUCAAACUAGAAUGGGGCUUUGAGUUGGAUUUUGAAGUGUGAACUUGUGGUGCUUGUGGGGGCUACUUUCUACUCUUGGGAAGUUUGUUGUCUAUAUUUUUGUAAGUCUUCCUUCCUUGCAUUCCAGAUAGUAAUUAAGAUAGUGUAGUGACUGUUCUUGUACAACAGAAAAAUAUUUCAUGUUAGGAUUAUUGAUUGAGACAACAUGCAUUAAUUCUGUCUUUCAUGUGUUUUUCUAUUUCUCCAGUGUUAUGACUCUUAGUUAAAACACAUAUUCCAUUAAAUUUUUGAUUUGGCUCUAUCUUAUUAUCCUUAUUCCUUAAUGCUGUACAGAUAGGAGCUAUUGAUAUUUAAUUUGCUCACCUUCUGUUCAUGUAAUAUAAAUCAUAUUGAACUUUUUUUUUUGGCAGUUAACUGAGUAAACUAUUUCAACAGCUACAAAUUUUAUUUCAUUUUCCACAAAUGACAUCAUCAAUAAUUUGCCUCUUCCAUUUCUGUUUUGAUUCCCAGCUAUCUUAAUUUAAUUACCUUUUUUCCCUCUUAAAGCCAAAAUAUAUGACCUUAAUAGAUUAUUAACACAAAAUUUUGCGUACUCACUGGUAGGGAUAGUCUUGGUUUUACAUGUUAUCUGUUUAAGUUUUUAUCAGUGGAAGAAAUCACUUUUCUGAAAAGUGUCUUCAUUAACAUCUCCUGGCCUACCAUUCCUUAUUCAUGCACAACAUGUGAAUCCGUCCCACACCCGGCUCUGAACUUGGAGAGCUCUCACUGCAUCACCAUGAUGGAAGCCGUUAACAAUGGAAAGGAUCUUCACGUCUCCGUCACCAUGCCUUCCAUUGAGGUGAGGACAGUCUCAAGGGAGCAAGUAAGAGCACUAAAGAAAGCUGUUGAUGAUAUAAGUUGCAAUGGUUCACUUUGAAUAGUUUCUCCAUGCAAACUACGUUUUCAGAGGCAACUUAAAGAAGUGUUUUAGAGAGUUUGAAGUUGAAGCUAGAAAAAAGAAAGUUUGAAGAUGGGGUCAUGGUUGUGCUUUCUGAAUUUCCUUAGCCGAUGUGAAAACUUCUAAUACAUUUUGAUGGGUUCUUUUGAGGAAACUUGUGGUUGUGUUCACAACUUUUGUGAAAAAUUAUUUUCAUUGUGUAUACUUCUUUUGUAAAAACUUGGUGUUCAGUACAGUAUUAUCUAUUAGUAGA